rnacentral:rRNA from 1 species
AUUGAACGCUGGCGGCAGGCCUAACACAUGCAAGUCGAGCGGAUGAAGGGAGCUUGCUCCUGGAUUCAGCGGCGGACGGGUGAGUAAUGCCUAGGAAUCUGCCUGGUAGUGGGGGAUAACGUCCGGAAACGGGCGCUAAUACCGCAUACGUCCUGAGGGAGAAGGUGGGGGAUCUUCGGACCUCACGCUAUCAGAUGAGCCUAGGUCGGGUUAGCUAGUUGGUGGGGUAAAGGCCUACCAAGGCGACGAUCCGUAACUGGUCUGAGAGGAGGAUCAGUCACACUGGAACUGAGACACGGUCCAGACUACUAAGGGAGGCAGCAGUGGGGAAUAUUAGACAAUGGGCGAAAGCCUGAUCCAACCAUGCCGCGUGUGUGAAGAAGGUCUUCGGAUUGUAAAGCACUUUAAGUUGGGGGGAAGGGCAGUAAGUUAAUACCUUGCUGUUUUGACGGUACCAACAGAAUAAGCACCGGCUAACUACGUG